CAUCGCCUCCUGCAAACUUCAACGUAUAGGAGGUCUUGCCUGCCCAGUGACAAAUUAAACGGCCGCGGUAUUUUGACCGUGCGAAGGUAGCGCAAUCACUUGUCUUUUAAAUGAAGACCUGUAUGAAUGGUGGAACGAGGGCUUAGCUGUCUCCCCUCUCAAGUCAAUGAAAUUGAUCUGCCCGUGCAGAAGCGGACAUACAAAUACAAGACGAGAAGACCCUUUGGAGCUUAAGAUAAACGACCAACUAUGUCAAAAGUCACACAAACAAUGACUAAACUAAGUAGCAAUUGGUCCGAAUCUUCAGUUGGGGCGACCACGGGAGAAAAUAAAGCUCCCAUGCGGACUGGGGCCAAACCCUAAAACCAAGAGAAACAUCUCCAAGGCGCAGAAUAUCUGACCAUAAAGAUCCGGCUACACGCCGAUCAGCGAACCAAGUUACCCUAGGGAUAACAGCGCAAUCCCCUUUCAGAGUCCAUAUCGACAAGGGGGUUUACGACCUCGAUGUUGGAUCAGGACAUCCUAAUGGUGCAGCCGCUAUUAAGGGUUCGUUUGUUCAACGAUUAAAGUCCUA
rnacentral:rRNA from 1 species